rnacentral:rRNA from 1 species
UGCCAGACUCCUACGGGAGGCAGCAGUGAGGAAUAUUGGUCAAUGGCCGAGAGGCUGAACCAGCCAAGUCGCGUGAGGGAAGACGGCCCUACGGGUUGUAAACCUCUUUUGUCGGGGAGCAAAGCGAACCACGUGUGGUUCAUUGAGAGUACCCGAAGAAAAAGCAUCGGCUAACUCCGUGCCAGCAGCCGCGGUAAUACGGAGGAUGCGAGCGUUAUCCGGAUUUAUUGGGUUUAAAGGGUGCGUAGGUGGUUAAUUAAGUCAGCGGUGAAAGUUUGUGGCUCAACCAUAAAAUUGCCGUUGAAACUGGUUGACUUGAGUAUAUUUGAGGUAGGCGGAAUGCGUGGUGUAGCGGUGAAAUGCAUAGAUAUCACGCAGAACUCCGAUUGCGAAGGCAGCUUACUAAACUAUAACUGACACUGAAGCACGAAAGCGUGGGGAUCAAACAGGAUUAGAUACCCGCGUA